rnacentral:rRNA from 1 species
AUUGAACGCUGGCGGCAGGCUUAACACAUGCAAGUCGAACGAGUGGCGGACGGGUGAGUAAUGCUUGGGAAUCUAGCUUAUGGAUGGGGAUAACUACGGGAAACUGUAGCUACUACCGCGUACCAUAGGCUGAGCCCAAGGGGGAGUAGGUAGUUGGUGAGGUAAAGGCUAACCAAGCCGACUAUCUGUAGCUGGUCUGAGAGGAUGACCAGCCACACUGGGACUGAGACACGGCCCAGACUCCUACGGGAGGCAGCAGGGGGGAAUAUUGCGCAAUGGGGGCAACCUGACGCAGCCAUGCCGCGUGAAUGAAGAAGGCCUUCGGGUUGUAAAGUUCUUUCGGUGGCGAGGCGUUAACUACAGAAGAAGCACCGGCUAACUCCGUGCCAGCCGCCGCGGUAAUUC